GAGAGUAGAAGGGGAAAAUAUUCUUUUUCUGGCAGAACUGUCUACGCUAGUUUCACUAGCUUGGUUUCAACGGGAAGAGAAUUCGUGACUGAAUUCUUGUUGGAUGCUUUCAUCCUAAGGUGGGUUAAGAAAUAAGAGAAUAGGAGAAAGAGACCUGCAAUGACACAAUAUAGUGACGCAGUUGCAGAAGUUGUGGAGGAAGUGAAAAGCUCCGAGAACGAGUAGAAGGCAGAGUAGUAGUAGAUCAGAUUAUUUAAGUUUUAUCGUAUGUUUUAACGGGAAGAGAAUUCGUGAUUGAAUUCUUGCCGGAUACUUUCAUGAUAAGGUGGGUUAGGGAAGAGGAUGGUAGAAAGGCGCUUACAAGGACACAAUAUAGUGAUGCAGUGGCAUAAGUUGAAGAGAAAGUGAAAAGCUCCGAGAGCGAGGAGAAGGCGGAGUAGUACUAUAUCAGAUUAUUUAAGCUUUAUUGGAUGUUUAAUUAUCAGAAUUAAAUGUUGUUCCCCUUUUUGAAUUUGGUUCGGAUUAUUUAAGUUUUCUCGGAUGUUUUGUGGCGCAUAAAGCAGCUGAGAUGAUAAAAGAAGAAGAA
rnacentral:lncRNA from 1 species